ACGGAUAAGGCGCCCGACUACGGAUCGGGAGAUUGUGAGUUCGAAUCUCACCGG
rnacentral:tRNA from 13 species